rnacentral:lncRNA from 1 species
UCUAAGGCUGGGGAUUACCUUCACAGUUAAAAACGGGGUGAGUUUAUGAAAACUCAGUGUGUAAUCCCCUAAAAUAAAAACAAUCAGUAAGAUAACAGAAUGCAAAAGUAGUCUGGAUCAGAGCCCUUUUUAGUAACAGAAUAAUUUGGGCCUUAGCCCAUUACAGCAACAGAAUCAGAAACAGAAUACAUGUGGGCCUAAGCCCAUUAUAGUGACAGUAUUAGUAAUAGAAAUGCAACAGUGCA